GACGAACGCUGGCGGCGUGCCUAAUACAUGCAAGUAGAACGCUGAAGCUUGGUGCUUGCACCGAGCGGAUGAGUUGCGAACGGGUGGGUAACGCGUAGGUAACCUGCCUGGUAGCGGGGGAUAACUAUUGGAAACGAUAGCUAAUACCGCAUAAGAGUAGAUGUUGCAUGACAUUUGCUUAAAAGGUGCAAUUGCAUCACUACCAGAUGGACCUGCGUUGUAUUAGCUAGUUGGUGAGGUAACGGCUCACCAAGGCAACGAUACAUAGCCGACCUGAGAGGGUGAUCGGCCACACUGGGACUGAGACACGGCCCAGACUCCUACGGGAGGCAGCAGUAGGGAAUCUUCGGCAAUGGACGGAAGUCUGACCGAGCAACGCCGCGUGAGUGAAGAAGGUUUUCGGAUCGUAAAGCUCUGUUGUAAGAGAAGAACGAGUGUGAGAGUGGAAAGUUCACACUGUGACGGUAUCUUACCAGAAAGGGACGGCUAACUACGU
rnacentral:rRNA from 1 species